CACAUCUGUUCCGCUGCUCACAGUCUGCUGCUGCUCACAUUCUUCACAUUUAUAGUCCACUUUUAAAAGUUCAGCAGACAGGUGCUCUGCUUUGGAGUGUGACGAUGUCGUCGGUGAUGUGGAGAGUGAAGUUUCCGUUUCACCCACAGCGUGCUUUAGGGCAGUCAGGUCAGACUUGAUGUUUGAAAUACUGACCAACAGCUCAGAUUUAACUGUCUGUAAUUCCAUUUUGAUGGGUGUUUAACUUUCACUCAAAGCCACCAGGAGCUGGGUCUUUAAAAUAACCGCCGUCUCGUUACAGAGUGAAAGUAGCAAUUCCUCCUUAAGGUCAGAGAUUGCAGCAUCUGAGGGCCUCUUCAAAAGAAGACAUAGUUGAUGAAGGCGUUCUGGAGCAGGACCAGAAAGACCACGACCAAGCAGCCUUGAGAUCUUAGGAGGCGUCUCCCUCAGACCAAAGAACUACAGACUCUUCACAACCUGCUCAAACUCUUGGUACAGGACCUCACCACACGGGUCAAGAAGGUUUCCUUCUCCUCAUUUCUACUCUGAAGCUCACCUUCUCCUGCUCAAACUGCUGAUAAAUGUUUCUGCUGCUCUAAAGUCUGGUUUCCAGAACUUCCUAAAAACUCUCAAAAGUCUCUUCUGCUGCAGGUUGCUUUGUAGAAC
ensembl:lncRNA